UCUCCGUUGGUGAACCAGCGGAGGGAUCAUUACAGGACUCGCAAGACUCCUUCACCCUGUGAACCUCACUACAAGCACGUUGCUUCGGAGGGUGUCCCGGCGGGGGUUUUCCCUCGCCGGGGCGCACAGCCCGCCGGCAGCCUACUAUACUCUGUCUCUUUGCGUUGGCAUCUCGAGAAAAAACAAACAAGUUAAAACUUUCAACAACGGAUCUCUUGGUUCUG
rnacentral:misc_RNA from 1 species